rnacentral:lncRNA from 1 species
AAAAUUUAGCCAAACAUGGAAGAACUAGGGUGUCACACCUCCUUUUUCGCUAUCCACAACCCGGCCAAGGGUGUAGACAGGAGAGUUUUCCAAUAAAGGACAAUCGAAACAGGAUUCAAUUUUUUAAGAGAGUUUCAGAGUCGCCACUUAGGAGAUUUAUGGUGUCCCAAGUCACCAGUUAGAAUCCCAAAUUGAGGAAAGAAUAACUCUGUUUAACCCGCGAACCAGAAAUCCGAGUAAGGAAUUAUGUUAACCCGGGAGAAUGUGUUAGACAUUCCCGAGUUCCGU